rnacentral:rRNA from 1 species
CAACAAGCUUGCUUGUUGGGGUUGUAGGACACUCUAUACGGAGUUACAAAGGACGACAUUAGACGAAUCAUCUGGAAAGAUGAAUCAAAGAAGGUAAUAAUCCUGUAGUCGAAAAUGUUGUCUCUCUUGAGUGGAUCCUGAGUACGACGGAGCACGUGAAAUUCCGUCGGAAUCUGGGAGGACCAUCUCCUAAGGCUAAAUACUCUCUAGUGACCGAUAGUGAACCAGUACCGUGAGGGAAAGGUGAAAAGCACCCCGGAAGGGGAGUGAAAUAGAACCUGAAACCGUGUGCUUACAAGUAGUCAGAGCCCGUUAAUGGGUGAUGGCGUGCCUUUUGUAGAAUGAACCGGCGAGUUACGAUUUGAUGCAAGGUUAAGCAGUAAAUGUGGAGCCGUAGCGAAAGCGAGUCUGAAUAGGGCGUUUAGUAUUUGGUCGUAGACCCGAAACCAGGUGAUCUACCCUUGGUCAGGUUGAAGUUCAGGUAACACUGAAUGGAGGACCGAACCGACUUACGUUGAAAAGUGAGCGGAUGAACUGAGGGUAGCGGAGAAAUUCCAAUCGAACCUGGAGAUAGCUGGUUCUCUCCGAAAUAGCUUUAGGGCUAGCCUCAAGUGAUGAUUAUUGGAGGUAGAGCACUGUUUGGACGAGGGGCCCCUCUCGGGUUACCGAAUUCAGACAAACUCCGAAUGCCAAUUAAUUUAACUUGGGAGUCAGAACAUGGGUGAUAAGGUCCGUGUUCGAAAGGGAAACAGCCCAGACCACCAGCUAAGGUCCCAAAAUAUAUGUUAAGUGGAAAAGGAUGUGGCGUUGCCCAGACAACUAGGAUGUUGGCUUAGAAGCAGCCAUCAUUUAAAGAGUGCGUAAUAGCUCACUAGUCGAGUGACACUGCGCCGAAAAUGUACCGGGGCUAAACAUAUUACCGAAGCUGUGGAUUGUCCUUUGGACAAUGGUAGGAGAGCGUUCUAAGGGCGUUGAAGCAUGAUCGUAAGGACAUGUGGAGCGCUUAGAAGUGAGAAUGCCGGUGUGAGUAGCGAAAGACGGGUGAGAAUCCCGUCCACCGAUUGACUAAGGUUUCCAGAGGAAGGCUCGUCCGCUCUGGGUUAGUCGGGUCCUAAGCUGAGGCCGACAGGCGUAGGCGAUGGAUAACAGGUUGAUAUUCCUGUACCACCUAUAAUCGUUUUAAUCGAUGGGGGGACGCAGUAGGAUAGGCGAAGCGUGCGAUUGGAUUGCACGUCUAAGCAGUAAGGCUGAGUAUUAGGCAAAUCCGGUACUCGUUAAGGCUGAGCUGUGAUGGGGAGAAGACAUUGAGUCUUCGAGUCGUUGAUUUCACACUGCCGAGAAAAGCCUCUAGAUAGAAAAUAGGUGCCCGUACCGCAAACCGACACAGGUAGUCAAGAUGAGAAUUCUAAGGUGAGCGAGCGAACUCUCGUUAAGGAACUCGGCAAAAUGACCCCGUAACUUCGGGAGAAGGGGUGCUCUUUAGGGUUAACGCCCAGAAGAGCCGCAGUGAAUAGGCCCAAGCGACUGUUUAUCAAAAACACAGGUCUCUGCUAAACCGUAAGGUGAUGUAUAGGGGCUGACGCCUGCCCGGUGCUGGAAGGUUAAGAGGAGUGGUUAGCUUCUGCGAAGCUACGAAUCGAAGCCCCAGUAAACGGCGGCCGUAACUAUAACGGUCCUAAGGUAGCGAAAUUCCUUGUCGGGUAAGUUCCGACCCGCACGAAAGGCGUAACGAUUUGGGCACUGUCUCAACGAGAGACUCGGUGAAAUCAUAGUACCUGUGAAGAUGCAGGUUACCCGCGACAGGACGGAAAGACCCCGUGGAGCUUUACUGUAGCCUGAUAUUGAAAUUCGGCACAGCUUGUACAGGAUAGGUAGGAGCCUUUGAAACGUGAGCGCUAGCUUACGUGGAGGCGCUGGUGGGAUACUACCCUAGCUGUGUUGGCUUUCUAACCCGCACCACUUAUCGUGGUGGGAGACAGUGUCAGGCGGGCAGUUUGACUGGGGCGGUCGCCUCCUAAAAGGUAACGGAGGCGCUCAAAGGUUCCCUCAGAAUGGUUGGAAAUCAUUCAUAGAGUGUAAAGGCAUAAGGGAGCUUGACUGCGAGACCUACAAGUCGAGCAGGGUCGAAAGACGGACUUAGUGAUCCGGUGGUUCCGCAUGGAAGGGCCAUCGCUCAACGGAUAAAAGCUACCCCGGGGAUAACAGGCUUAUCUCCCCCAAGAGUUCACAUCGACGGGGAGGUUUGGCACCUCGAUGUCGGCUCAUCGCAUCCUGGGGCUGUAGUCGGUCCCAAGGGUUGGGCUGUUCGCCCAUUAAAGCGGUACGCGAGCUGGGUUCAGAACGUCGUGAGACAGUUCGGUCCCUAUCCGUCGUGGGCGUAGGAAAUUUGAGAGGAGCUGUCCUUAGUACGAGAGGACCGGGAUGGACAUACCUCUGGUGUACCAGUUGUCGUGCCAACGGCAUAGCUGGGUAGCUAUGUGUGGACGGGAUAAGUGCUGAAAGCAUCUAAGCAUGAAGCCCCCCUCAAGAUGAGAUUUCCCAACUUCGGUUAUAAGAUCCCUCAAAGAUGAUGAGGUUAAUAGGUUCGAGGUGGAAGCAUGGUGACAUGUGGAGCUGACGAAUACUAAUCGAUCGAAGACUUAAUCAA